rnacentral:tRNA from 1 species
GCCUCCCCUUGUCUGAGGCUCAAUCAGUACAGCAUGAGACUCUUAAUCUCAGGGCCAUGGGUUCGAGCCCCAUGUUGGGCA